CCACACAUCCUAAUGUAAAGUUAGUUUUCUCAACAGCCACAUCACCUAAUGUAAAGUUAGUUUUCCCUCCACAGCCACAUCAUCCUAAUGAAGUUAGUUUUCUCCACAGCCACAUCAUCCUAAUGUAAAGUUAGUUUUCCCCACAGCCACAUCAUCCUAAUGUAAAGUUAUAUUCCCUACAGCACAUCAUCCAUUGUAAAGUUAGUUUUCCCCACAGCCACAUCAUCCUAAGGUAAAGUAUAUUUCCCUACAGCCACAUCAUCCUAAUGUAAAGUUAGUUUUCUCCACAGCCACAUCAUCCUAAUGUAAAGUUAGUUUCCGUUCAGCCACAUCUCUAAUGUAAAGUAGUUUUCCCCACGCCACAUCAUCCAAUGUAAAGAGUUUUCCCCACAGCCACAUCAUCCUAAUGUAAAGUUAGUUUUCCCCACACAUCCUAAUGUAAGUAGUUUUUCCCUACAGUCACAUCAUCCUAAUGUAAAGUUAGUUUUCCCCACAUCAUCCGAAUGUAAAGUUAGUUUUCCCCACAGCCACAUCAUCCUAAUGUGUAAAGUUAGUUUUCCCUAAAGCCACAUAAUCCUAAUGUAAAGUUAGUUUUCCCCCACAUCAUCCUAAUGUAAAGUUAGUUUUCCCACAUCAUCCGAAGUAAAGUUAGUUUUCCCACAGCCACAUCACCUAAUGUAAGUGUUUUCCCAAAGCCACAUCAUCCUAAUGUAAAGUUUUGGUUUUUCCCACAUCAUCCAAUGUAAAGUUAGUUUUCCCCACAGCAUCCAAUGUAAAGUUAGUUUUCCCCACAGCCACAUCAUCCA
rnacentral:lncRNA from 1 species